CGCUGAACUUAAGCAUAUCAAUAAGCGGAGGAAAAGAAACUAACAAGGAUUCCCCUAGUAACGGCGAGUGAAGCGGGAAGAGCUCAAGCUUAAAAUCUCUGCGCAAGUUUUGCGUGGCGAAUUGUAGUCUAUAGACGCGGCAUCAGUGCGGCCGCUCGGGGUAAGUUCCUUGGAAGAGGACAGCAAUGAGGGUGAUACUCCCGUUUGUACCCGAGUGUGUUGCACGUACGAUACGUGUUCUUUGAGUCGCGUUGUUUGGGAAUGCAGCGCAAAGUAGGUGGUAAAUUCCAUCUAAAGCUAAAUAUUGGUGCGAGACCGAUAGCGAACAAGUACCGUGAGGGAAAGAUGAAAAGAACUUUGAAAAGAGAGUUAAAGAGUACCUGAAACUGCUGAAAGGGAACCGGGUCGUUGCCAGUGUCUAUAAUCCGCUGCAUAUUUCAUUGCUGUGCGAGUCCGUGUCGCGUGUUGGAAUCAGUAAAUUMUGUUUUGCUGGACCGCGCGUGUCUGUGGGUUUGGUCGGCGGUGCCCUGUGCGGCGGUGGGACGUCAGAGUCAGUUCGUUAUGCUGCGGGAAAUGGCUGUCGAGGAGGUAGGUCAGGAGCUUUGCUUUUGGCUUUUUAUAUCUUGGCGUGCUAGUUGUCGUGGUUGGGACUGAGGUGCCUUACAACGUGUCUUUUGGAGUGCGUGUGCGUCUCUGUGUGCGUCCGGAUUGGAUAGCUUGCUAUGCAGUUUUGGAUGGUGUGUGGAUUGAUGCGUGCGUUAACUUUUGACCGUUCGGGACUUUGACGAAAUGGCGCGAUCCGACCCGUCUUGAAACACGGACCAAGGAGUCUAACAUGUGUGCAAGUGUUAGGGUGUGGAAACCCAAGCGCGAAAUGAAAGUAAAGGGCGGCUUUAUUGCUGUCUGAGGUAGGAAACCCUUGCUCGUCAGGGGUGGCACUAUCGACCGAUCAUGAUCCCUCGUGGUGAAAGAUUUGAGUAUGAGCACAUAUGUUGGUACCCGAAAGAUGGUGAACUAUGCCUGAGUAGGGUGAAGCCAGGGGAAACUCUGGUGGAAGCUCGUAGCGAUUCUGACGUGCAAAUCGAUCGUCAAACUUGGGUAUAGGGGCGAAAGACUAAUCGAACCAUCUAGUAGCUGGUUCCCUCCGAAAUUUCCCUCAGGAUAGCAGCAACUUAUUUACGAUAGUUUUAUGAGGUAAAGCGAAUGAUUAGAGGCCUCGGGGAAGAAACUUCCUUGACCUAUUCUCAAACUUUAAAUCUGUAAGACCUGCAGGUUUCUUAAUUGAACUUGUGGAUGUGAAUAUCAAGUUGCUAGUGGGCCAUACGGGGUAAGCUCGUCUGGCG
rnacentral:rRNA from 1 species